AACGAACGCCGGCGGCAUGCCUAACACAUGCAAGUCGAACGAAGGCUUCGGCCUUAGUGGCGCACGGGUGCGUAACGCGUAGGAAUCUGCCCUUUGGUUCGGAAUAACAGCUGGAAACGGCUGCUAAUACCGGAUGAUGACGAAAGUCCAAAGAUUUAUCGCCAGAGGAUGAGCCCGCGUUGGAUUAGGUAGUUGGUGGGGUAAAGGCCUACCAAGCCGACGAUCCAUAGCUGGUCUGAGAGGAUGAUCAGCCACACUGGGACUGAGACACGGCCCAGACUCCUACGGGAGGCAGCAGUGGGGAAUAUUGGACAAUGGGCGCAAGCCUGAUCCAGCAAUGCCGCGUGAGUGAUGAAGGCCCUAGGGUUGUAAAGCUCUUUUACCCGGGAAGAUAAUGACUGUACCGGGAGAAUAAGCCCCGGCUAACUCCGUG
rnacentral:rRNA from 1 species